CAGUCAAACCUGCAAAUCUGAACCUGUGUAUCUGUGAGUGUUGUGUCUAUCCUGUUAACCGGAGCUUUUUGUGUGUAAAUUUCAUCUGGAACCUGAUUACGGACUACGAGAGGAGUGGCAGUGGAGAAGGAGUUGGAGUUUUGUACAGAAAGUGUGGAGAACGUCUGUUUGUAUCUGCUUUGUAACUGACUUCAGUCACAGACUGCUGCAAAUGCGUGCCUUAUUCCUCUCAUGGCUCGGAAAUUUUUAUUAUUUAAUACACACUUCACAUCAGACAUUUUGUACCCUGCUGACUGUUCAGUACACUGAGGUUAUUUCAGUUUUCCUUUGUCAGUUUUUUCUGACAAACUUUCAUACGCCUGCAUUACUCCUGUAUUGUCAUGGUUCGGCUGUGUGGCAGGCAGGAGAAGGACCCAAACGCAAACUCACGGAGACAAAACGUAAACUCAAAAACACAGCUUUAAUGCUGGCAAAAGGUGAAACACAAAAACAACACUGAACUAAACUGGGAAAGCUAAACAUAAAGUAUACCAGGAACCACGGGGAGAAUCACACACAGCAUGAGGGAGACUACGACACAGAACUGAGGGAGACGCAGACAUAAAUACACAGAGGGUUAACGAGGGAAGUGGGAGCACACGGGGAACACAGCUGACACAGAUAAUCAUAACGAGACAGGGCAGGAGUGAACACAACAUGACGCAUACUGACGAGAGACUGUCAAAGUAAAACAGGAAGUACACAGAGGUUCAGACAGGAGGAGAGAGUACGGGGAGAACACAGACAUAACAGGCUGGGGGAAACAUGGAAUAAAACACGAAAGGGGACAAGGGCUCAUGAAUACAUAGAGGGGCACACAGGGGGUGAGAGUCACAAAGGGAAAGCACACAGGGAACCACAUAACAGGGCAACUCAGGAAACAGAACCUAAACAGGGAACUGAAUACAAAAAUACAAGAGAACUAAGAAUACUGGGCCAACACGGCCCAGGACCAUGACAUGUAUUGUGUUCUCUGCACCUGUUCAAUUUUCUUUGCACUGAUCAUCACUUGCAUUCAAUCUGUUUAGUACUUUUAAUUUUUAUUUAAGUGUUUGUCUUAUAGUAUGUCUCACGCAAAGUACCGCAGCAAUUUCCUAAUGUUGUAAAUCUGCUUAACAUUUGGCAAUAAAACCAUUUCUGAUUUUGAUUCUGA
ensembl:lncRNA